UGAGGAAUAUUGCGCAAUGGGGGCAACCCUGACGCAGCAACGCCGCGUGAGUGAGGAAGGUUUUCGGACCGUAAAGCUCUGUCGAGCGGGAAGAAAUGCAUGGUGGCUAAUAUCCAUCAUGCUUGACGGUACCGCUAAAGGAAGCACCGGCUAACUCCGUGCCAGCAGCCGCGGUAAUACGGGGGGUGCGAGCGUUGUUCGGAAUUAUUGGGCGUAAAGAGCGUGUAGGCGGCCGAAUAAGUCAGAUGUGAAAUCCCUGGGCUUAACCCAGGACGCGCAUUUGAAACUAUUCGGCUGGAGUAGGGGAGAGGAAAGUGGAAUUCCUGGUGUAGAGGUGAAAUACGUAGAUAUCAGGAGGAACACCGGUGGCGAAGGCGACUUUCUGGCCCUAUACUGACGCUGAGACGCGAGAGCGUGGGUAGCAAACAG
rnacentral:rRNA from 1 species